UGUUGGUCUGCACCAGCAAGAUACUUAGCUUUCAGUACACCAGGGAUUUCCACAGCAAGGCCCCAGAUUUCUGAAGUCACCUUAAAUGUGAUUGUUUUCAUGUAUGGCUGACAUUUGACAAUUUAAACAACCUGUUAGUGAGCACUGGAAAGCAGUUACGUUAAGUGUCUUGGCCAAGAUCCAACAAUAGUAUCAGUGGUUGAGCAUUGCAAGGGACCUGUACAAAUGGAUUUGAUUGUAGUAUUCAUGAAAUAGACGUGUCCACUACCAUCAGGAUUCCAGUUAUUGACUUGGAAUUUGUAACUUGGGAUCGUCUUGUUCUGAAAAAUUAUUGCUUACUUGGACAAAAUUCUGGAAAACAUGGUUUGGUUUCGACUUUUUGCUCGCAGUUUAUUCCUGAACAUUUCCAACGGCG